AUGGCCGACGCGGGCCAAAAUGUAGUAUCCGUCCUUAUCAGCUUGUUAUCUGAUACGGGUUGUAUUUGGACCCAACAUAUUAAACCCCGUCCGGCAUUUUUGUAAUUUCGCGGAGUCCUUGAAGCCUGCUUCAGCUGCUGCACGCGUCCGCCCGGUUACCGCACUAUCUUCGGGAUCGGCCCACGGGAG